CUUUAUAAUUAUGAAAGUAGCUGCAUAUUAAUGAUCCAGAGCUUACAUAAACAACUGGCCUUGGAGAAAUCUAAUGGAGUAACUUGCUAUACCACAGAGAAUCCAUUUUAGCAACCACCAGCAGUGAUGUGUGUGGUGGAAUGGAGCAGCAGUGAGGUUGGGGCCAUGCAGUUGCACCAACCUGAUGGGUGCCUGAUUGAUGGUGGCGAUCACAUCAGUGCAACUGCACAACUCAAUCUCAUCACCAUCCUGUCCUAGCCAGCCCCGUCCAGCUUUCCAUCUGUUCAGAGCAAACAUCUGCAGGAGGGAGCCUGCUGUAGUUGUGGAAGAUCCCCAUUCAAUCUGGAAACCUGCAUGAUCAGGGUACUCAGUCAUGCAAGGAGCCAACACGAGUACAGACAUUUCCCCUGAAGAACACUGAAGAAACUGGAAGGAGCUGCAUAGCAAAGGAGGCAUGGCAAAAGGUGCAGCCCCACAGCCCCUUUGUCAUCACAUACAGGGAAUGGCUGAAUAGGACUAUGGAGUCUCUAGGUAACAACCAUAGCCAUUGAAUCUCCAUUCCCAUAGCCAAAUUUCCUUAGCUUUCCUCCAUUAUACUACAUUAUACUACAUUAUUAUCAUUAAUAAUAAAUACAUUGUAUUGACGAUAAGUAAUUAUGUUACAAAAACUUAUUGGGGAGAAAACAGAAUUGAUAGAUUGGAUUUCUUUUGUUUGACAAACUUUUCCUCUAAUGAGGGUAGGAAUUCUGGCCUGAUAAGAAUGUGCCUGUCACAUUGCACAGCAGACUUUUAAUGCAAAACUUAUGGCUGGUUUUAAGAAACCUUUGAACUGUCAUAUACUCCCUGAAUUAAUGAGGCCAUACAAGUCUAAGAUCCCUAAAAAAACCUAUCAAGAUAAGGGACUGUUCACUUUGUGAUGAAUUGAUUGGUAUUGCGAAAGUGACAAUAGAUGUGGAUCUUUCUAGGCAUAAUUUUAUAAAGAGCAGCUGUCACACUUUGAACAAUAUAUGUGAACAGUAUUAGGCUUGCCUAUACAUUUCUUACACUGUAUUUACAUGUUGUCGUUUAAAAAAAAAUUGGGGGGGAAGCAUAUGAAAUCUAAAAGAGCAUGAAUUAGAAGAACAA